UACGGGGGGAGCAAGCGUUGUUCGGAUUUACUGGGCGUAAAGGGCGCGUAGGCGGUAGCACAAGUCAGUUGUGAAAUCUCCGGGCUUAACUCGGAAAGGUCAACUGAUACUGUGCGACUAGAGUGCAGAAGGGGCAACUGGAAUUCUCGGUGUAGCGGUGAAAUGCGUAGAUAUCGAGAGGAACACCUGCGGCGAAGGCGGGUUGCUGGGCUGACACUGACGCUGAAGCGCGAAAGCUAGGGGAGCGAACGGG
rnacentral:rRNA from 1 species